rnacentral:rRNA from 1 species
UUCUGGCUCAGGAUGAACGCUAGCUACAGGCUUAACACAUGCAAGGUCGAGGGGCAGCAUUGGAGUAGCAAUACUUCAGAUGGCGACCGGCGCACGGGUGAGUAACACGUAUCCAACCUGCCGCUUACUCGGGGAUAGCCUUUCGAAAGAAAGAUUAAUACCCGAUGGUAUAAAGAGUUCGCAUGUUCUCUUUAUUAAAGAAUUUCGGUAAGCGAUGGGGAUGCGUUCCAUUAGAUAGUUGGCGGGGUAACGGCCCACCAAGUCUACGAUGGAUAGGGGUUCUGAGAGGAAGGUCCCCCACAUUGGAACUGAGACACGGUCCAAACUCCUACGGGAGGCAGCAGUGAGGAAUAUUGGUCAAUGGACGAGAGUCUGAACCAGCCAAAAGUAGCGUGAAGGAUGACUGCCCUAUGGGUUGUAAACUUCUUUUAUAAGGGAAUAAAGUGAGGGACGUGUCCCUUUUUGUAUGUACCUUAUGAAUAAGGAUCGGCUAACUCCGUGCCAGCCGCCGC